AGAGAGAGACAUGCGCGCAUAUCAAUAAGCGGAGGAAAAGAAACUAACAAGGAUUCCCCUAGUAACGGCGAGUGAAGCGGGAAGAGCUCAAAUUUGAAAUCUUAAAGGGUUUCCCUUUACGAAUUGUAGUUUAAAGAAGUGUUUUCUGUUAAGGUUUUGGUAAAAGUUCUUUGGAAUAGGACAUCAUAGAGGGUGAGAAUCCCGUAUUUGACCUUUACUUUCAACUUUGUGAUACACUUUCAAAGAGUCGGAUUGUUUGGGAAUGCAGUCCAAAAUGGGUGGUAAAUUUCAUCUAAAGCUAAAUAUUGGCGAGAGACCGAUAGCGAACAAGUACCGUGAGGGAAAGAUGAAAAGAACUUUGAAAAGAGAGUUAAACAGUACGUGAAAUUGUCAAAAGGGAAGCGUUUGACACCAGUGUUGUUUUUCUGAAAAUCAAUUAAAGAACUGUUUAUGCUAAGCUGUUUAGACUUUAUCAGCUAUCUGUUUAGUUUUGAGCUUUUCUUUAAUGCACUUUUCAGUUAACAAGUCAACAUCAAUUUCUUUUGCUGUAAAAAAGCUUGAGGAAGGUGGCUUGAGAUUCGUCUUAAGUGUUUAUAGCCUCUUGCCUAUGCAGUCGGAGAGAUUGAGGUCUGCAGCGUAGAUCCUUCGGGGCUAAAUGCAUUUGUGCUAAGUUAUAGCAUUUUAUAGACAACUUGUUGACUAUGAUUUGUCUUGUAGCUUACUCGCUUAUGUUAUUUUACCUACGCUUAGGAUGUUGAAGACUCUACAGAGAUA
rnacentral:rRNA from 1 species